GGGCCUGUAGUAUAACCUGGAAAGUACAUCGGGCUUCGAACCCGUUGAUCUCGGUUCAAAUCCGAGCAGGCUCA
rnacentral:tRNA from 1 species